rnacentral:lncRNA from 1 species
GCUGUUGUUUUAGUAAACAGAUAUGCUGUACUUAUGAAGCUGUUGGGACCAUAGGUUGCUGCUACUGUCAGCCACAUUGAGGGAAACUUGUAUUUGCAGUAUCAGUUGCUGUGAAAACCCAGCCACCCCAGAUCACUCUGUCUUGUUCACUCUCUCUGUCUCCCAAUCUCUAUCUGGCUCUAUCUCUUAUGCCACAACUGGAAGACAGCCUUCUGCUCUCCUCCCACCCCCAAUAAAUCUCUUGUGUUAGCUCUCCUAUAGGGUAGCACACCUUACCCCCAACCUGCAAAGGGUACAUUUUGCCCUGCUUUACCCUAACGAGACUAACAAAGACUUGGUAGGGUUCUCUAGAGUCACAGAACUUAUGGAAUGUCUCUCUAUAUUGAGGAAAUUUAUUGUGAUGACUUACUGUCUGUAGUACAACUAACCCAACAAUGGUCAGCUGUGAAUGCUAAGUCCAGGAAUCUAGCAGUUGCUCAGUCCCACGAGGCUAGUUGUUUCAGCUGGUCUUCAGUAGAAGUAGGUUCCAAUGGAUAUGCUGGCAAGUAAGUGUAAGCAGGUGAAGUGUAAGACUCUGGAGAGCCUUAGCUUACCAGGGACCCCCUGAGUGAACCACAUGGAGCUGGAAUUGAUGCAAAAAGCAAGAGUAAUUUAUUGUUCCAGUGCACUGGGGUCGUCCCAGACCCAAAGGAGAGGUGGCAACUACCUGAAGCCGGUUUGGUGAGUUCUUAUAUGGUUUCCAGGGGCAGAAUAGAGCAUCAGCAACUAGGCACAAUAUUAUUGGCGGAACAGUGUGCCCUUUAAACUGAUUGGUCUUUAGGGAAUGAGGUAGUAGGGGCUUACUCAGCCUCUCCCUUCUGGCCUAAGUGCUCUCUGACCUGUCUCUUCCAGGAAAGGCAGUUGGGGGAGGGGAGGAGAGUCUGGCUGAAUUUUCUAAUGACUGAGCUGAUCUCUUCAGAAGAGUGAGUCUUCCUUCUUCCAAUGUCCUUUAAGUAGGUCUCCAGCAGAAGGUGUGGCCCAGAUUAAAGGUGUGUACCACCAUGCUUGAAUCUGGGACUUGCUUUGUCCCGGACUGACCUUGAACUCAGAUAUCUGCUUGCCUCGGUUUCCUGGGAUUAAAAUCGUGUACUAACUUACGUGGGCCUAUGCUUUUCAUAGCCAGUAUGCCUCAAGAUCUCCAUGCCAAGAUCCAGGUCAGAAACUUGUGUCUUCCAGCCUCAAGAUCUGGAUCACAGGUGUGCCCUCCAAUUCUGGAUUGUAGUUGAUCCCAGAUAUAGUCAAGUUGGCAACCAGGAACGGCCGUUACAGUAAGCUUUCCUGGGGCUUGUGUGCUGCCCACCUGUGAUCUGAGCCACACUAGGAACCUCUUAUCUCCAGUCCUCACUUCCACCCAUCACUGGGUACCCCAUCCUUCAGUGGCAAUUGGUAAGUUCUUCCUCUCAGUCAGAGUAAAUGCUUCCCUGAGUCUCUGGCAAAGGUCAUCUGACCAUUUCCCUUGGGUGAGUUUUCAAGCACAGUUUUCACCUUCUGGAUUCAUUUGAAAGUCCUGAUACCAAGUGUCUUAGGGUUUUACUGCUGUGAACAGACGCCAUGACCAAGGCAGCUCUUAUAAGGAUAACAUUUAGUUGGGUCUGGCUUACAGGUUCAGAGGUUCAGUCCAUUAUCAUCAAGGCAGGAGAAUGGCAGCAUCCAGGCAGUCAUGGUACGGGAGGAGAGUUCUACAUCUUGUUCCCAAGGCAAAUAGGAGAAGACUAGUUUCCAGGCAGCUAGGAUGUGGGUCUUAAAGCCCACACCCACAGUGACACAACUACUCCAACAAGCCAUACCUCCAAAUAGUGCCACUCCCUGGGCCAAGAGGAUUCAAACUGUGACACCAGGCAUUCCACCAAGGUACCUUUCACUGCCUUAUCCUAACAAUCACCUCCCAAAAUGCCACCAGCAAGCAUUCAGCUCCUGAGCCUGUGAGGAAUGCUUUUAUCUCAAAUCCUGACUCUGGGAGUUGAGUGAUUUAUCUGGCCCACAAAACCAUCAGCCCAAUGGUUUAGGCUUCUUCCUUCUUCCUUCUUCCUUCUUCCUUCUUCCUUCUUCCUUCUUCCUUCUCCUUCUCCUUCUCCUUCCCCUUCCCCUUCUCCUUCUCCUUCUCCUUCUCCUUCUCCUUCUCCUUCUCCUUCUCCUUCUCCUUCUCCUCCUCCUCCUCCUCCUCCUCCUCCUCCUCCUCCUCCUCCUCCUUCUUCUCCUUCUCCUUCUUCUUCUCCUUUUCUUCUUCUUCUUCUUCUUCUUCUUCUUCUUCUUCUUCUUCUUCUUCUUCUUCUUCUCCUCCUUCUUCUUUCCUUCUUCUUCUCUUCUUCUCCUUCUUCUUUCCUUCUUCUUCUUUCUUCUCUCUUCUUCUCUCUUCUUCUCUCUUCUUCUUCUUCUUCUUCUUCUUCUUCUUCUUCUUCUUCUUCUUCUUCUUCUUCUUCUUCUUCUUCUUCUUCUUCUUCUU